UUAUGUAUGUAUGUAUAUAUAUUAAACCAAAACCCCCAUUUGUUGUCACUCACCAUUCAACUCCAAUAUAUAUCUUAAAUAUUUGAAGUUAGAAACUCAUUAUUUCUUCUAUAUAUUCCUCAAGAAAGUUCCAAUUCUAUCAACUUUUGCUAAUCAUUAUAUCCUCAUCAUCCAAAAAUAAAUAAUCUCUUUUACACCAUUCUAGAUAUGAAGCAAGUAAUACUACUUAUAUUUCUACUUUAUUUAUCCACUCUAAUCCAUGAAGCACAAGGUAGACACUUGAAGAAAGGGCAUAAAUUACAGGAAAAAACUAAUUUGAUAGGAAGUAGUAAAGGAGUUAUUGGAGAAGUUAGUACUCUUUGCAAAGAUGGCCAUUGUUCAUCAUUCACCACAAAAGGAAGACUUACAAAAGUAGCCAAAAAAUCACACCAUUGGUUACCAAAUAUUCAUGAAGAUUAUUAUGGCCCAAGAGGACAUAGACCUAGACACCAUUAAAUAAUUUACAAAAAUAGCCUAAUUUUUUCUUUCUUGUAGCUAGCUAGCAUAUUAAUUAAUAUUCCUCAUAUUUUUUUGUUUUCUUGUAGAACUUGAAAAUUCUUAGGAAUUUUAAUUAGGAGCAUCAUUUAUAAAAACAAAAAUUAAUUA